AUGAGUCCCCUCACUUCCUCAUGUAAGUCAAUGUUUCCCCCUCUAGGAGGAUAAAUAUCUUUCUCAUAACUUCGCAAGCCUACCUGACAUUCCCUUCUAUCAUUCGUUCCUGGAUAGCUGUGGUGUUCCAAGAGACAUAUGGAAGAUUUCGAAGCCUGCUCUGUGAUGGGAGGUGAGGCUGUUCAAGGAAGUAUCCUUGGGGAAGGCCGGGCACGUGGAACAAAGUAACUGCUGGACCAAUGUGUUUGUGCCAAAUCAAAAGGCAAUGACAAUUGUCUCAGGAGCAAUCCCUUUCAGUUCAAAUUCCGAGCUUGUACAGGUAUACGGAAAUGGUCUGACCAAGAGGCAUCGAUCUGGAGUGGGUCUUGCAUUGCCGGAUGACAGGAGCCCUUC